GACGAACGCUGGCGGCGUGCUUAACACAUGCAAGUCGAACGGAAAGGCCCUUCGGGGUACUCGAGCGGCGAACGGGUGAGUAACACGUGGGUGAUCUGCCCUGCACUUUGGGAUAAGCCUGGGAAACUGGGUCUAAUACCGAAUAGGACCGCAUGCUUCAUGGUGUGUGGUGGAAAGCAUUUGCGGUGUGGGAUGGGCCCGCGGCCUAUCAGCUUGUUGGUGGGGUAAUGGCCUACCAAGGCGACGACGGGUAGCCGGCCUGAGAGGGUGACCGGCCACACUGGGACUGAGAUACGGCCCAGACUCCUACGGGAGGUAGCAGUGGGGAAUAUUGCACAAUGGGCGCAAGCCUGAUGCAGCGACGCCGCGUGAGGGAUGACGGCCUUCGGGUUGUAAACCUCUUUCAGCAGGGACGAAGCGCAAGUGACGGUACCUGCAGAAGAAGGACCGGCCAACUACGUGCCAGCCGCCGCAGUAA
rnacentral:rRNA from 1 species